GAGGGUAUAGCUUAGUGGUAGAGCUAGUACUUAGGAUUCACGAGGUCCUGGGUUCAAUCCCCAGUACCUCCA
rnacentral:tRNA from 1 species